AAUCUUCGGAUUCUAGAGAGCGGCGUACGGGUGCGUAACACGUGUGCAACCUACCUUUAUCUGGGAGAUAGCCUUUCGAAAGGAAGAUUAAUACCCCAUAAUAUAUUUAAUGGCAUCGUUAGAUAUUGAAAACUCCGGUGGAUAGAGAUGGGCACGCGCAAGAUUAGAUAGUUGGUGAGGUAACGGCUCACCAAGUCUGUGAUCUUUAGGGGGCCUGAGAGGGUGAUCCCCCACACUGGUACUGAGACACGGACCAGACUCCUACGGGAGGCAGCAGUGAGGAAUAUUGGACAAUGGGUGAGAGCCUGAUCCAGCCAUCCCGCGUGAAGGACGACGGCCCUACGGGUUGUAAACUUCUUUUGUAUAGGAAUAAACCUAGAUACGUGUAUCUAGCUGAAGGUACUAUACGAAUAAGCACCGGCUAACUCCGUGCCAGCAGCCGCGGUAAUACGGAGGGUGCAAGCGUUAUCCGGAUUUAUUGGGUUUAAAGGGUCCGUAGGCGGACCUGUAAGUCAGUGGUGAAAUCUCGCAGCUUAACUGUGAAACUGCCAUUGAUACUGCAGGUCUUGAGUAAAUUAGAGGUAGCUGGAAUAAGUAGUGUAGCGGUGAAAUGCAUAGAUAUUACUUAGAACACCAAUUGCGAAGGCAGGUUACCAUGAUUUAACUGACGCUGAGGGACGAAAGCGUGGGGAGCGAACAGGAUUAGAUACCCUGGUAGUCCACGCCGUAAACGAUGCUAACUCGUUUUUGGGGCGCAAGCUUCAGAGACCAAGCGAAAGUGAUAAGUUAGCCACCUGGGGAGUACGUUCGCAAGAAUGAAACUCAAAGGAAUUGACGGGGGCCCGCACAAGCGGUGGAUUAUGUGGUUUAAUUCGAUGAUACGCGAGGAC
rnacentral:rRNA from 1 species